CCCUUAGAUGUUCUGGGCCGCACGCGCGCUACAAUGAUGCAGGCAACGAGUGCCGCUCCUUAGCCGAAAGGCUUGGGGAAUCUUGAAAACUGCAUCGUGCUAGGGAUAGAUGAUUGCAAUCGUGCAUCUUGAACGAGGAAUGCCUUGUAAGCGUGAGUCAUCAACUCGCGCUGAAUACGUCCCUGCCCUUUGUACACACCGCCCGUCGCACCUACCGAUUGAAUGGUCCGGUGAAAUCUUCGGAUCUGAGAGAUGUCUGAUUAAUUUCGGACGCCUUUUGGAAAAGUUGUUUAAACCUUACCAUUUAGAGGAAGGUGAAGUCGUAACA
rnacentral:rRNA from 1 species